GAUUUCGUGGUGUAGUGGUUUGAAUGCUGGACUAUGACACUGGAGACUAGGGUUCGAAUUCCAACUUAGCCA